rnacentral:rRNA from 1 species
GACCUGCGGAAAGAUCAUUACCACACCGAUCCAAGAUCAGUCUUCAUUGUGAAUCUGAUUUCAGAGGCAGCCUAGCUGUUCUCUGUCGUCAACUUUAACUUUUAUCGCGACCUCUGCUUCGGCAUCGUUUCACGCACCCCCCAUAUUCUAUAUGGAAACUAGAAAGAACCAAAUGACCUAAAGCUAAAGUGCAGUUGGUCUGGUGUUGAGCCUCGUGCCAACACCGCCCUGUACACAAACCUAAUGACUUACAACUUUCAGCGGUGGAUGUCUAGGUUCCCACAACGAUGAAGAACGCAGCGAAAUGCGAUACGUAAUGCGAAUUGCAAGACCUCGUGAAUCAUUAAGAUUUUGAACGCACAUUGCGCUUUCGGGAUUUUCCUGAUAGCAUGCUUGUCUGAGUGUCUGUGGAUCCCACUCAGCACUGGUCUAAUCUUUAGACUAGUAGCUGGUUGCUUUGGCCUUGACUGCCUCUGGCUGUCUCUGCUUAAAUUCUACAACACGUACGUGCAUAGAUCUAGAAAAGUCUUAGCCUGUUCUUAGGACGGCGUUGACAUUCUCAUCUAUCUCUGGUAGCUUGUCUCUGGAGUUCACUGAGUUUGUUAUCAGCUGUUCGAAAAACUACUGAGUCUAUCUCUAAGUCUAGCUUGCAGUUUACUGCUCGCUAUCUAAUUCCGGAUCUCAGAUCAAGCAAGAUGACCCGCUG